rnacentral:lncRNA from 1 species
CACCAAGGACCGCCAAACGACUGGACAGCAUCACUGAAAACACUAAUUCUCUGUGAAAUUUCACAGCCAUCGGAGCAGAGGCAUACCUAAUGUUAAAGUGAUACCACUGCACCUUCAAGGCCAAAUGAAGUCAUGUGCUGAAAAGCGUGCUGGGUGAACUGAAACCUCCUCCCACACUGGCGGCGGAGCCAAGAGGACUUGGGCCUCUGCUUUCAGCCCAACACGCUCCCCUCCCCAGGAUGUGUCUCCCGGGUCCCAGCGUCAUAUACUCCAUCAGACCCGAUUGCAACAGUCAGUUAGCAGUCAAUGUAGCGGGAGAUGGGCCACAAGAGCAGCCUGAAAGGAUCAGAGAUCAUCCUGUAACCGUGUUGAGUGACCGCCGUAAAGUUCUUCAAGCUACGGAAGAUACUGAAGUCAAAUGUUUACAGUACUGAAGGGCCCACCUGCGAUGGAAAAUAACACCCAAAUCAAGAACAUCUGGGGGAAAAGUCCUGCGAAGAGCCAAGUAAUGAAAGAGCAAUAAAGAUGCAGAAUGCAUUUGUGGAGCCUUUUCUUCC